rnacentral:rRNA from 1 species
GUGGGGAAUAUUGGACAAUGGGCGAAAGCCUGAUCCAGCCAUGCCGCGUGCAGGAUGAAGGCCUUCGGGUUGUAAACUGCUUUUGUACGGAACGAAAAGACUCCUUCUAAUAAAGGGGGUCCAUGACGGUACCGUAAGAAUAAGCACCGGCUAACUACGUGCCAGCAGCCGCGGUAAUACGUAGGGUGCAAGCGUUAAUCGGAAUUACUGGGCGUAAAGCGUGCGCAGGCGGUUAUAUAAGACAGAUGUGAAAUCCCCGGGCUCAACCUGGGAACUGCAUUUGUGACUGUAUAGCUAGAGUACGGUAGAGGGGGAUGGAAUUCCGCGUGUAGCAGUGAAAUGCGUAGAUAUGCGGAGGAACACCGAUGGCGAAGGCAAUCCCCUGGACCUGUACUGACGCUCAUGCACGAAAGCGUGGGGAGCAAACAGGAUUAGAUACCCUUGUAGUCC